CUCUGUGCUCUCUCUCUCUCUCUCUCUCUCUCUCUCUCUCUCUCUCUCUCGUUUCUUCGAUCGUCGAUUGAUUCAAACUCAUCCUCUGGUUCUACUGUUUUUGAUUUGGAAACAGAUUGAUCCAAUUGUGAAUCCGAAUUGAGGAUCUGAUUGAUUGGAUCAUCUCAACUCAUAACUUUGAAUUGAGGAUAGAAUCUCGAAGAUCUUCCUGAGAAUGUUGAAUGCAUGAUGGAUUGUGAAGCUUUUCAGAUAUUAGAUGGAAUUAAGGGACAUUUGGUUGGGUAGUCUGAAGACCCUUCCAUUAUCUGCGGAUAUGUGUAAUUGCAAAUGCUUCUCUAGAUGAAGUUCUUGCCUUUAUUCCAUCGCUGAAGGUGAGGCCUUUAGGGCUACCAGAUUCUCAUGUAUGUGUUGUUGUUUUUUGAAAUCUAAACACUUUCACCAAAUCUUUAACAUUAAAUUUGGAUCAUAACAUUUAAACA